UAGAUAUAAAGCAGUGAUCAUGUGUCGUUCAUUCAGUUUAAGAUAAAUUACAUUUAAGCCUUAUUGCCUUGAUCAUAGUACGCACAUUUUACAGUGUGUCACUCGGUCACCGAUGUUUAAUGUUAGUUUCUCGCAUACAAAUAAUAAAGGCCGCAUUGUGGAUGCGCCACUUACCGAUGAUUACGUAUCAGAGCAAUUAUUAUAAUUAGACAGUGUACCACAUUCGGUGCAAAAACCUGUCGACGCGUUUAAGUGGAGCCAUUAAUUAAAAGGCAUGGGACGAAUGCUGAUUUAACAGUUUCGUAAAACGUAAAUAGAAAACUCAAAGGGUGAACCAACUCGGAUGAUCGUCGUGACUAACUCAUGAUAUACAGCGUGCUAUUUCGAGGAUUAGCGUUUGACAAACGAUACAGAUGUUCCGCGAUGAUGCAAUAUCAACGGACGUUUUUGCAUAUUUACUUAACCCUAAUCCCGAUAAGACAAUUACCUCUACGCAGGAUCUAGCUUUUGAAUUAAAUCAUCAAGUGUUAUCAGAAACAAAUACAUGUAUACAAUCGGAUUGUGUAUUGUACGUACCGAAUAAAUAAAUAAACUAAUAUCACGUGGGCUAUGGUCAUCUCCGUAAGUGACGCUGGUUUAAAAUGGCGGCAAUUUCAUUUUUAAUCCUGACCAAUCGUUUUAAUCUGUCAUUUCGUUGGACCUUUCGGGUGAACUCGCAGUGCAAUCCAGCGAAUCGCUUGGGGCAAUGGCACCGACAAAAGUCAAAUGGGUUAUCCGGGGUUACGAGUGUGCCGCCAUUGAGGCACGUGAUCUGCGAAUUACACAGGAACGGACCGGGCAUCGCCUCUACGUGGGACGGAGCGAACACACUUAGUAUCAAGAUAAUGCAGCACAAUGAGAAUAUCCAAUUUACCCCGACACUGUCCGUGAGCACGAGCGGCGACAACCUCAGCCGCGUCGUGUGAGAAAAGUUUCUGUCAA